GUGCUGCAAUGGGGGUCCCAGCAUUGAGUUGGGGGGACAUGGGGGGGACAUGGGGGGGGGUCAUGGUGAUGACAAUGGGGGGAGGGACUCAAUUAAUGUCAUUGUUAAUUGGAUGGGGGGAUAACGAACCCACAUUGGGGAGCGCAGCUAUGGUGGCCACCAUGGUUGAGGACUGGAGGUGCUCCAAUGGGGGUCCCAGCAUUGAGUUGGGGGGACAUGGGGGGGACAUGGGGGGGGGUCGUGGUGAUGAGAAUGGGGGGGGGACCCAAUUAACAUCAGUGUUAAUUGGAUGGGGGGAUAACGAACCCACAUUGAGGAGCGCAGCUAUGAUGGCUGCCAUGGUUGAGGACUGGAGGUCCUCCAAUGGGGGUCCCAGCAUUGAUUUGGGGGGGGGUCCCAUCACUGAGUGUGGAUAUGGGGGGGCCCAAUGGGUCAUCAUGGUGCCACCAAUAGUGAAAGGACCUCAUUAACACCACCGCUAAUUGUAUGCCGGGAUAACGAACCGCGUUCGGAGAGCAGAGCUACGGUGGCCACCAUGGAUGGGGAGUGGAGGUCCUCCAAUGGGGGUCCCAGUCUUGAUUUGGGGGGGGGUCCCAGCACUGAGUGGGGCCAUUGGGAGGGGGGGGGCCCAAUGGGUCAUCAUGGUGCCACCAAUGGGGGAGAACCCAAUUAACGUCAGUGUUAAUUGGAUGGGGGGAUAACGAACCACGGUCGGAGCGCAGCGCUAUGGUGGCCACCAUGGUUGGGAUGGGAGGUGCUGCAAUGGGGGUCCCAGCAUUGAUUUGGGGGGGGGUCCCAUCACUGAGUGUGGAUAUGGGGGGGCCCAAUGGGCGGUCAUGGUGCCACCAAUGGGGGGAGAACCCAAUUAACGUCAGUGUUAAUUGGAUGGGGGGAUAACGAACCGCGGUCGGAGCGCAGCGCUAUGGUGGCCACCAUGGAUGGGGACUGGAGGUCCUCCAAUGGGGGUCCCAGCCUUGAUUUGGGGGGGGGUCCCAGCACUGAGUGUGGAUAUGGGGGGGCCCAAUGUGUCAUCAUGGUGCCACCAAUGGUGGGAGGGACUCAUUAACACCACCCCUAAUUGGAUGGGGGGAUAACGAACCGCGGUCGGAGCGCAGCGCUAUGGUGGCCACCAUGGAUGGGGACUGGAGAUCCUCCAAUGGGGGUCCCAGUCUUGAUUUGGGGGGGGGUCCCAGCACUGAGUGGGGCCAUUGGGAGGGGGGGGGGCGCAAUGGGUCAUCAUGGUGCCACCAAUGGGGGGAGGGACUCAUUAACACCACCCCUAAUUGGAUGCCGGGAUAACGAACCGUGGUUGGAGAGCAGAGCUAUGGUGGCCAGCAUGGAUGGGGAGUGGAGGUCCUCCAAUGGGGGUCCCAGCAUUGAUUUGGGGGGGGGUCCCAGCACUGAGUGUGGAUAUGGGGGGGCCCAAUGUGUCAUCAUGGUGC
ensembl:lncRNA